rnacentral:rRNA from 1 species
CGUUGAAAAGUUCGGGGAUGAGGUGGGGGUAGCGGAGAAAUUCCAAUCGAACUCGGAGAUAGCUGGUUCUCCCCGAAAUAGCUUUAGGGCUAGCCUCGGUGAAUGGAGUGAUGGAGGUAGAGCACUGAUUGGGUGCGGGGCCCGCAAGGGUUACCAAGCUCAGUCAAACUCCGAAUGCCAUGAACUUCUUGCCGGGAGUCAGACAGUGAGUGCUAAGAUCCAUUGUCAAAAGGGAAACAGCCCAGACCAUCAGCUAAGGUCCCCAAGUGUGUGUUAAGUGGGAAAGGAUG